rnacentral:rRNA from 1 species
UACGUAGGGUGCGAGCGUUAAUCGGAAUUACUGGGCGUAAAGCGCACGUAGGCGGCUUUGCAAGUUAGAGGUGAAAGCCCGGGGCUUAACCCCGGAAUUGCCUUUAAAACUGCAUCGCUAGAAUUGUGGAGAGGUGAGUGGAAUUCCGAGUGUAGAGGUGAAAUUCGUAGAUAUUCGGAAGAACACCAGUGGCGAAGGCGACUCACUGGACACAUAUUGACGCUGAGGUGCGAAAGCGUGGGGAGCAAACAGG